rnacentral:rRNA from 1 species
GACGAACGCGGGCGGCGUGCCUAAUACAUGCAAGUCGAGCGAAGUUUUUCUGGUGCUUGCACUAGAAAAACUUAGCGGCGAACGGGUGAGUAACACGUAAAGAACCUGCCUCAUAGACUGGGACAACUAUUGGAAACGAUAGCUAAUACCGGAUAACAGCAUUAACUGCAUGGUUGAUGUUUAAAAGUUGGUUUUGCUAACACUAUGAGAUGGCUUUGCGGCGCAUUAGCUAGUUGGUGGGGUAAAGGCCUACCAAGGCGACGAUGCAUAGCCGACCUGAGAGGGUGAUCGGCCACACUGGGACUGAGACACGGCCCAGACUCCUACGGGAGGCAGCAGUAGGGAAUCUUCCGCAAUGGGCGAAAGCCUGACGGAGCAACGCCGCGUGAGUGAAGAAGGAUUUCGGUUCGUAAAGCUCUGUUUGUUAGGGAAAGAAAUGAUUGUGUAG